rnacentral:rRNA from 1 species
GUCAGGAUGAACGCUGGCGGCGUGCCUAACACAUGCAAGUCGAGCGAUUACUUCGGUAAAGAGCGGCGGACGGGUGAGUAACGCGUGGGUAACCUGCCUCAUACACAUGGAUAACAUACCGAAAGGUAUGCUAAUACAGGAUAAUAUAAGAGAUUCACAUGGAUUUCUUAUCAAAGCUCCGGCGGUAUGAGAUGGACCCGCGUCUGAUUAGCUAGUUGGUAAGGUAAUGGCUUACCAAGGCGACGAUCAGUAGCCGACCUGAGAGGGUGAUCGGCCACAUUGGAACUGAGACACGGUCCAAACUCCUACGGGAGGCAGCAGUGGGGAAUAUUGCACAAUGGGCGAAAGCCUGAUGCAGCAACGCCGCGUGAGUGAUGAAGGCCUUCGGGUCGUAAAACUCUGUCCUCAAGGAAGAUAAUGACGGUACUUGAGGAGGAAGCCCCGGCUAACUACGUGCCAGCAGCCGC